GGACGAAACGCCGGCGGGCGGUGGGCUUAUACAUGCAAGUCGAACGAACUCUGGUAUUGAUUGGUGCUUGCAUCAUGAUUUACAUUUGAGUGAGUGGCGAACUGGUGAGUAACACGUGGGAAACCUGCCCAGAAGCGGGGGAUAACACCUGGAAACAGAUGCUAAUACCGCAUAACAACUUGGACCGCAUGGUCCGAGUUUGAAAGAUGGCUUCGGCUAUCACUUUUGGAUGGUCCCGCGGCGUAUUAGCUAGAUGGUGRGGUAACGGCUCACCAUGGCAAUGAUACGUAGCCGACCUGAGAGGGUAAUCGGCCACAUUGGGACUGAGACACGGCCCAAACUCCUACGGGAGGCAGCAGUAGGGAAUCUUCCACAAUGGACGAAAGUCUGAUGGAGCAACGCCGCGUGAGUGAAGAAGGGUUUCGGCUCGUAAAACUCUGUUGUUAAAGAAGAACAUAUCUGAGAGUAACUGUUCAGGUAUUGACGGUAUUUAACCAGAAAGCCACGGCUAACUACGUGCCAGCAGCCGCGGUAAUACGUAGGUGGCAAGCGUUGUCCGGAUUUAUUGGGCGUAAAGCGAGCGCAGGCGGUUUUUUAAGUCUGAUGUGAAAGCCUUCGGCUCAACCGAAGAAGUGCAUCGGAAACUGGGAAACUUGAGUGCAGAAGAGGACAGUGGAACUCCAUGUGUAGCGGUGAAAUGCGUAGAUAUAUGGAAGAACACCAGUGGCGAAGGCGGCUGUCUGGUCUGUAACUGACGCUGAGGCUCGAAAGUAUGGGUAGCAAACA
rnacentral:rRNA from 2 species